rnacentral:rRNA from 1 species
UACGUAGGGUGCAAGCGUUAAUCGGAAUUACUGGGCGUAAAGCGUGCGCAGGCGGUUUUGUAAGUCUGUCGUGAAAUCCCCGGGCUCAACCUGGGAAUUGCGAUGGAGACUGCAAGGCUAGAAUCUGGCAGAGGGGGGUAGAAUUCCACGUGUAGCAGUGAAGUGCGUAGAGAUGUGGAGGAACACCGAUUGCGAAGGCAGCCCCCUGGGUCAAGAUUGACGCUCAUGCACGAAAGCGUGGGGAGCAAACAGG